CAAAAACAUGUCCUUUUGUUUGUUUAUUUAAGGUUUAACCUGCCCAAUGAGGAAUUGAAUGGCCGCAGUAUUUUAACUGUGCUAAGGUAGCAUAAUCAUUUGUCUUUUAAUUGAGGGCUAGAAUGAAGGGUUGGACGAAACAUAGACUUUCUUUAAUUUAAAGGAAGAAUUUAAUUUUUGAGUUAAAAAGCUUAAAUUAUUUUAUUGGACGAGAAGACCCUAUAGAUCUUUAUAGUUUUAUAUUUUAGCAAUGUAGAGUUUGUAUUUGAUUGAAUUAAAGGAACUAUUUUGUUGGGGUGACUGUAGAAUUAAAAUAACUUCUAUUUAUAUAUAUCAUUUAUUGAUGUUUAUUUGAUCCAUAAUUUAUGAUUAAAAGAUUAAGUUACCUUAGGGAUAACAGCGUAAUUUUUCCGGAGAGUUCAUAUUGAUGGAAGAGUUUGCGACCUCGAUGUUGGAUUAAAAUUAGUUAUAGAUGCAGGAGUUUAUAAACUAGGUCUGUUCGACCUUUGAAUUUUUACAUGAUCUGAGUUCA
rnacentral:rRNA from 1 species